rnacentral:sRNA from 1 species
UCCGGGUGUGGUGGCACAUGCCUGUAAUCCCAGCAGCUCAGGAGGCUGAGGCAGGAGGAUUGCAAGUUCAAAGCCAACCUAAGCAACUCAGUGAGAACCUGUCUCUA